UGCAGAGUAGAGAAGUCCGGUAUCUCGCCAGCCUCAUAAGCUGGAAUUCACGGGUUCGAAUCCCGUCUCUGCACCCA
rnacentral:tRNA from 1 species